CGGCGGCCGUAACUAUAACGGUCCUAAGGUAGCGAAAUUCCUUGUCGGGUAAGUUCCGACCUGCACGAAUGGCAUAACGAUGGCCACACUGUCUCCUCCCGAGACUCAGUGAAGUUGAAAUGUUUGUGAUGAUGCAAUCUACCCGCGGCUAGACGGAAAGACCCCAUGAACCUUUACUGCAGCUUUGCAUUGAACUGUGAACCGAUUUGUGUAGGAUAGGUGGGAGGCAGAGAAGAGGCCACGCCAGUGGUCUUGGAGCCGACCUUGAAAUACCACCCUGAUUUGUUUGCGGUUCUAACCACGGACAGUGAUCCUGUCUUGGGACCGUGCAUGGUAGGCAGUUUGACUGGGGCGGUCUCCUCCUAAAGGGUAACGGAGGAGUACGAAGGUACGCUAGGUACGGUCGGAAAUCGUGCUGAUAGUGCAAUGGCAAAAGCGUGCUUGACUGCGAGAGCAACAACUCGAGCAGAUGCGAAAGCAGGUCAUAGUGAUCCGGUGGCUCUGAAUGGAAGGGCCAUCGCUCAACGGAUAAAAGGUACUCUGGGGAUAACAGGCUGAUACCGCCCAAGAGUUCAUAUCGACGGCGGUGUUUGGCACCUCGAUGUCGGCUCAUCUCAUCCUGGGGCUGUAGCCGGUCCCAAGGGUAUGGCUGUUCGCCAUUUAAAGAGGUACGUGAGCUGGGUUUAAAACGUCGUGAGACAGUUUGGUCCCUAUCUGCCGUGGGCGCUGGAAGAUUGACGGGGGCUGCUCCUAGUACGAGAGGACCGGAGUGGACGCACCUCUGGUGUACCGGUUGUCACGCCAGUGGCAUUGCCGGGUAGCUAAGUGCGGAAGAGAUAACCGCUGAAAGCAUCUAAGCGGGAAACUUGCCUGAAGAUGAGUCUUCCCGGAGGUAAAACCUCCCUCAAGAGUCGUCCGAGACCAGGACGUCGAUAGGUCAGGUGUGUAAGCGCUGUGAGGCGUUGAGCUAACUGAUACUAAUUGCUCGUGAGGCUUGAUCCU
rnacentral:rRNA from 1 species